AACGAACGCCGGCGGCAGGCUUAACACAUGCAAGUCGAACGCCCCGCAAGGGGAGUGGCAGACGGGUGAGUAACGCGUGGGAAUCUACCUAGUUCUACGGAACAACAGUUGGAAACGACUGCUAAUACCGUAUACGCCCUACGGGGGAAAGAUUUAUCGGAAUUAGAUGAGCCCGCGUAAGGUUAGCUAGUUGGUGGGGUAAUGGCCUACCAAGGCGACGAUCUUUAGCUGGUCUGAGAGGAUGAUCAGCCACACUGGGACUGAGACACGGCCCAGACUCCUACGGGAGGCAGCAGUGGGGAAUAUUGGACAAUGGGCGCAAGCCUGAUCCAGCCAUGCCGCGUGAGUGAUGAAGGCCUUAGGGUUGUAAAGCUCUUUCACCGAUGAAGAUAAUGACGGUAGUCGGAGAAGAAGCCCCGGCUAACUUCGUGCCAGCAGCCGCGGUAAAAC
rnacentral:rRNA from 1 species